GACGAACGCUGGCGGCGUGCUUAACACAUGCAAAUCGAACGGAAAGGCCCUGCUUUUGUGGGGUGCUCGAGUGGCGAACGGGUGAGUAACACGUGAGUAACCUGCCCUUGACUUUGGGAUAACUUCAGGAAACUGGGGCUAAUACCGGAUAGGAGCUCCUGCUGCAUGGUGGGGGUUGGAAAGUUUCGGCGGUUGGGGAUGGACUCGCGGCUUAUCAGCUUGUUGGUGGGGUAGUGGCUUACCAAGGCUUUGACGGGUAGCCGGCCUGAGAGGGUGACCGGCCACAUUGGGACUGAGAUACGGCCCAGACUCCUACGGGAGGCAGCAGUGGGGAAUAUUGCACAAUGGGCGGAAGCCUGAUGCAGCAACGCCGCGUGCGGGAUGACGGCCCUCGGGUUGUAAACCGCUUUCGCCUGUGACGAAGCGUGAGUGACGGUAAUGGGUAAAGAAGCACCGGCUAACUACGU
rnacentral:rRNA from 1 species